CACAUGGCACAAGUGAUGAAUAAGUGGAGGCUCUCAUUGCCAAAAGCUUGAUGAAAGCUUUAUAUUAGCUCUGAGGGAGGCGGGACAAGUUACCAGCCAAUAAAAGAGACCACAGACAGGGGAUUGGCCUCCAUUUCAUGAUAAGGAAGCUACAAGUAGUCCCUUUCCAGGUGAUUUGAUUCCAAAAUGAAUAGCCAAAGAAAAUCUCAAGGAAACACGUACAAU